UGUAAAUAAAAAGUUAAGUCACUCCCCGUGUCUAAAAGCUAGAGAGAGAAAGUAGAUCUCGCCCAACACUGCUUCCUUCAAACAAAACCCAGAUCGACGUUUCUUCCAAACAACCCAAAUCGAAGUUUGCGGCUUCUUGCAACGAAAUAGAGACAUCAUGUUUUGGGAGACCCUAGUUUUUUGAUUAGUUGAUUAUCAGCGAAAUUGAUUCUGGUAUUGGAGAUCUUCGAUGAUUCUGCCGGGCCAUCUUCAGAGCUUCAACUGCGUUUUAAGAGUUCGCCGCAAUAACAACAGGUUCUCCUGAUAUUUCAUUUACAGUGAUCGCCAGUUAUUUAGGAGUGACUUUUUGGAGAUUUGAUGAUAAUGAAGGAAAAGAUGCUUUGCCGAUGAACAUAUCUGGAGAUUAUGACUAAAAGUGAAUACUAUCACAUGGGAUUAGAACUCCUAAUAUUAUUAUCACUAAAUGUGACGAUUAGGUUAAAACUGCAUCAUUUACAUUAAGAAAAACAAAAAUACUAAAAAUAUCUCCUUCAACAUUAAAUUCAUAAAUUGUGAAAUAGACUAUUUUACUUUUUAAUAUUUAAUUAGUUCACACUGAUUUUAAA